UUUCUCUCUCACUGGCUUGCUUGCUCUGUCUCUGUCUUUCUCUCUCUCUCUGCCCCCCCUUUCCCUCCCUCUCUCUUGCUCUCUCUCUCUCUCUUCCCGUCUCUGUGGUUUGUAAGGUAGGUUGCAGUGUGUGUAUAUACACAACAUCAAGAGCAGGAAAAUGGACUCAUUAGGGAGGCAGGCAGUCAUUACCACUCACACUGUACUUCCAGGGAGACACCGGUUAUGAGAAGAGAGACUCAGCGCUGGGGAAGAAGAUAAAUGAAUGGAGUGUUUGAAUUGCCCUUUGCAACUCUGAAGACUGAAGAGUUCCUGAUGAAUUGCAUGUCUGUUUGUGCCUCAUAGCCGCACAGGGACCAAUUUCCUUUUCAAAUAUGAAGAGAGUGACAUAAAUCUUUGGUUUCCAAGGAGAGUCUGGAAAGAAAUCGAUUGUUAGAG
ensembl:lncRNA